AUGGAGACAAAUGAGAUUUGUGAGGGAUCAUCUUCGAGUAGGGAGGAGAGGGCCGAGGGCGAUUUUAACAUGUCAGGUCUGAAGAGCAUGCCCUGCAACCCAGCAACUGUGCUCCAGGGUAGGGGUGCAAUCGGACAGAGUUUACAGAUGGAGAGCCAGACACCUGAAGAUUGCAGACUUGCCCUGACUAUCCAACUGUUAAGACAGAGCAGGAUCCCGGAGACGGAGGAGACAAGAGUCUGCACAGGACUUCCUGGUCUUGGAUCAGGAUCUGCUCGUAUGCGCUGCUUCCACAGCCUGCCUGUUCUGGUUCUAAAGCAGCUGUCUGAUAGAAAUAUUAUGUAAGCCACAUAUGUAAUCUUAAAUUUUCUAGUAGCUACAUUAAAAAAAAAUAACAGGUGAAUUUAAUUUUAGUAAUAUAUUUCACAUAAUAUAUCCAAGAUGUUAUCAUUGAAGCAAGUAGUCAACAUAAAAAAUUAUCAGUGAGAUGUUCUACAGUCUUGUUUGUACUGUUUUUGAAAGCCCAUAAACAGUUUACACUAACAGCUCAUCUCAGGCCAGACUAGUGACAUUUCAAGUGCUCAAGAGCCACGUGGGGCUAGUGGCUGCCAUUUUGGACAUUGCAGAUCUAAAGAGUGUGCAACAUAUGGGAUAAAUAAGUGUAUUUGCAAGAAAAUGCCUUUUAUGUUUAGAUAUGUUUAGAUAGUAAUAACAUAAACCGACACAUACAAAGAAUUUAUCACAUACCAGGCAAUGUUCUAAGUGCUUUAUUUGUCUUAUGUUGUGAAGACUCAUGACAGUCCCAUGAGCAAGCUACUUUGACUAUCCUCGGAUCCUCAUAUUGAUGAUAAGUAAACUGAAGAAUGAAGAAGUUGUACAAAUCGUCCAUGGUCACAUGGCCAGGGACUCCAAUACGAGAUUCAAAUGCUGACAGUUUGGCUACAGGGUCUACAUUUCAAGUGCUUUGCUGUUCUCCUUAUGUGAUAAUAGUUGGGCUUCACUUUUUUUUUCUUUUGAAGAAGAUUAGCCCUGAGCUAACAUCCACUGCAAAUCCUCCUCUUUUUGCUGAGGAAGAGAGGCCCUGAACUAACAUCUAUGCCCACCUUCCUCUAUUUUAUAUGUGGGACGCUUGCCACAGCAUGGCUUGAUAAGUGGUGCAUAGGUCUGCCCCCGAGAUUCAAAGCAGCGAACCCUGGGCUGCAGAAGUGAAGCACACGAACUUAACCACUGCACCACCGGGCUGGCCCCAGGCUUCACAUUUUUCGCUGUGUCAUUUUUAAGUUACCAGGAGAGUAUGUGUACCACUGGCUGGAGUGAAGGAGGAUAAAUUCAUUUGAAGUUGAAAUUGCCAACUGUGUUUCUAUCUGGAUUUCUUUUAAUCUCCCAUUGAUCCAUGCAUUUAAAUCAGAGGAUUGAAUUUUGGAUUGGCAGGGCACAUUCAUGAACUUGAGAGUAAGGUCUGGCAUAUAUUUCAGCCACACCAACAGGAAGCCAAAAUGCCCUUUGGGGGUAAUUAGUGCCCUCACCUCUUUAUGUGUUCUCACUAAGUCCUGUUAUCCCAGGGCUCAGACUACUUCCAGGAGAUAAUUAGGGGCUGCUGAAAGCUGCCUUAACUCUGCCAGGCCACAGGGGCAUUGUAAAUGACUACUUCUCAAAAAGACUCAUCAGCUUUCAGCAACUCGAAACACCUCAACCCCAAAUGCCCAGAAGGGUUGAACAUGGAUUGUUCCGAUUAUUACAUUCUCAUUUGGAGGUUUUGGAUCUCUUUUUACAGAAACUGAUGUCAUUCCCAUGUCUUAAAGGUAACUUUGGGGCCAGGAAGGGUUAAUGCCACACACCUGGAGAAGCUUAGAUAAAAGACGAAGACUUAGUUUAAGGCCUAGGAAAGAGCAUCCAUCAAGGCUUUUUUGAGUCUUGACUAUUUGCAGUCAACUUUCCUCUCUGUUUGCCUUUCUCAAAUUGUCAAAUACUCUUUCUUGGGGCUGAAUAGCUAUUGCUUAUAAAAUCCCUAUUAAGUGCCACACAUUUUUCAAAUAUUAUUUCCAAUCCUACAAUAACUGUAUUAUAAUCAGCAUAGUGGCAAACACAUAGUGGACGCGAAGAGUGUACCAGGCGUGAUUUUGAACGCCUUACAUAUAUUAACCCUUUGAGCACUCCAACAACUUAUGAGGUAGGUGCUGCCAUAAUCCUCUUCCUAUAGACAGGGAAAGUCAAGAGCAGAGAUGGUGAGUGACGUCUUCCCUGAAUCAUAGAGUAGCUCGUGAGAAAUAGAUGUUUUACUUCCCCCCAGCCUUUUCUCAUUUUCCACUUAAUUAGCAAGUAUGAUAUCAUGGCAAAAGUUAAUGCCUUUUAAGUUUUGUAUGAGACAGAAGUGCUUCUCAAACAAGGUUAGUUUUAGAUAUACGAAUGUAAACAAUAGAGUAAAAACAGAAUGAAAAAUCUCUGAUGACUAGAAUGUUCCUAAAGUUCUCUUUUUCAGGACACUUUUACGAAUUUGUUUAAAUCACUUGUGGUAUGCUGAAAAAAAAGCCCCUGUAUGUUUGAUAUCUCCUCACGAAUUUCUGGAGUACUCUUAUCUGACACCAAUUAAAAGAUUCUUUUUCUCUUUCUGGGACUAUCUUGAUUUUGAGAAUAAAAACUACACAGAAACUCA
rnacentral:lncRNA from 1 species